UACGUAGGUGGCAAGCGUUGUCCGGAAUUAUUGGGCGUAAAGCGCGCGCAGGUGGUUCCUUAAGUCUGAUGUGAAAGCCCCCGGCUCAACCGGGGAGGGUCAUUGGAAACUGGGGAACUUGAGUGCAGAAGAGGAUAGUGGAAUUCCAAGUGUAGCGGUGAAAUGCGUAGAGAUUUGGAGGAACACCAGUGGCGAAGGCGACUAUCUGGUCUGUAACUGACACUGAGGCGCGAAAGCGUGGGGAGCAAACAGG
rnacentral:rRNA from 1 species